CAAGAACCGAACCAUGCAGCUCUUAGAAGUGGACCUGGCGUCACGGCGAAAACGUCUUUUAGUUUAGUUUGAAGAGAACCGACGCCUGUAUGAGCGACCCUAGGCCUUCUUGACGCUGCCAUGGCAACUAGCUUAAAAAGGGAUCCUAACCUGAUGCUAAUAUGAUUUGACAGCUGAGAAACUCAACGAGAAACGACAGAGCGGCAGCAGCUCUCCGGCCCUACGUCUACCUACGAGGCUGUAAAGACGUGUUGCUCGUAGCUCCGACUGAUAAGUUGACUUUUGUGAUAAUGCAUCGUGAAGUUUGCUUGUGAACCAAACUUUUUGAUCAUUUCUCAGUAAAAUGAAAGUUAAUUUGCUGUUUUUUUUCUUUCUCCGUGCUGACAGAUUUCUGCUCUCUGCAGCUCUUUUGAUUCAUGAAAUGCUCCACCCUCAGAAAGCAUUCCCUUCCCCCACCUCCGUUCAGCAAAAGCAGCAUACAGAAACUAAUCCAGGACGGUGAAGCAGUUUCCCUGUUUGCUUUCUGUUUGACACAAAGUCGAGCCACUUGUUCUCAGUCAGUUUUAGGUUUAUGAUCUCCUGCUGCCAAAAAGCAAAAGGGGGUGAUGUUUUACAACACCAAUUCCAAUCAAUACACCACAAAGACAAUAUAAGUAGUGCUCAAAUUAAUUAAUUUUUUUUUUCAAAUUUUCUCUCAUUUUUUGUUUGAUGCCUGCAACAGGUUGUAAUAAACCUGGGACGUUUACCACUGUGUUCUAUCAGCUUUCUUUUUAACAACACUCAGAAAGUGUUUGUGAACUGAGGACAUUAAUUGUUGAUGCUUUGUAGCUGGAUUUCUUUCCCAUUCUUGCGUCAUACACAACUUCAGCUGCUCAACAGUCCGGGGUCUCCGCUGACAUAUUUUCCAAUGGGAGACAGGUCUGGACUGCAGGCAGGCCAGUCUAGUACCUGUGUUCUGUCGAUAUGUGCUCCCUCGUCAGAUUUUGCUAACGCAGAGCUUCUAGACCAGGGGUGCCCAAACAUUUUCCCYGAGGGGGCCAAAUUGAAAAUCU